UAUCAUUUCGUGGUUUCAAAUCUCGUGUUUCAAAGCUCAUGUUUCUGUGUAAUUAUAAGUAUUUUGUCAAUCUUUGUGUACUGAUUACCAAGUGAAUAAAGAGGAAUGAAAACUAUUGACGCGGUAAGGGGUUAGAUAAAAAUAAAUGUUGAAAAUGUGUUUGCUUUUGCCUUUGUUUGAAACGGUUUACAAAACAAUUGUUUUGUGAAAUUAACUCUACGUCAUUAAUGACUCUUUUACAUUCAAUGUUUAGUUCCAAAAUAGCGGGAUAAUCUGAAUGUGCAAUAUACCAAAAUCGCAACAAACAGUCCAAUAAGUGAUACCCAUCCUGUCUAGUGUAAUUGGGUGUAAUUAUAAUAAAAACAACGAGAUGCUAUGCAUGACAGUUUGACCCUACUCCAAUUAAGCUAAAAACAACGAGGUGCUAUUCAUGACAGUUUGACCCUACUGUAGCAGACGUAACAAAGGUUGACUUUGAGACCCGCGACAACCAGCACGAUGAUGACACGAUCGCAAUAGGCCACGCCACUCGUACCUACCAUGACGAGGCUCCCCCGGAGGUCCAAGCAUCCUUUUUUAGGAAGGUGAGGGCGUUCUACGUAGAGUUGACCACGAAAAUGCUCACAAAGUUUCCGGUCAACGAUGAGGUAUUGAAGACCCAAAGUUUCCUUUGUCCAGAGAACAGACAGAACACAUCGACAGAGUCUGUGGUCAAGCUGUCCGUGCGGCUAGGUGUGGGAAAUCCAGAUCGUAUUCAUGAUGAAUUCGUCGAUUUCCAGCUGCUUUCGGAAAGCGCGUUACCCCCUUACGUUGAAGGAAUGGCACUGGACCCCUUCUGGUCGUGCAUUGCCAGCAUCAAGACACCACUACAGAAAGCUCGGUUCCCGCAACUCUCUUCACUUGCUUUUGCAGCGUUGUCAAUUCCUCACUCAAACGCCGAUCCAGAAUUUGUUUCAGCGCACUGAAAAAAAUCAGAAAGAAGAAAGGGAAAAUCUGGGCCAUAGAACGGUUAAGGCGUUGUUGGCAGUUAAAAUGAACACAAAGACGGUUUGCUUCCACCCAAAACCUACCUCGGAAAUGUGUACGGCCGCGCAUUCCGUGUCAAGCUGAUGUAACUGUUCGGUAGAUAGUUUACUGUAACCCGUACUUCCAGUGUACUGGUUAGCCUCCCCUGCGUUAAUGUUUGCCAUUUCAAGUCAUAUAAUGAGUAUUG